UACGUAGGUGGCAAGCGUUGUCCGGAUUUAUUGGGUUUAAAGGGUGCGUAGGCGGCCUUGUAAGUCAGUGGUGAAAUACUCCAGCUUAACUGGAGGGGUGCCAAUGAUACUGCAGGGCUUGAGUACAGAUGAGGUAGGCGGAAUUGACGGUGUAGCGGUGAAAUGCAUAGAUAUCGUCAAGAACACCGAUAGCGAAGGCAGCUUACUGGGCUGUAACUGACGCUGAGGCACGAAAAGUGUGGGGGAUCAAAACAGGA
rnacentral:rRNA from 1 species